rnacentral:rRNA from 1 species
UACGUAGGGACCAAGCGUUGUUCGGAUUUACUGGGCGUAAAGGGCGCGUAGGCGGCAAUUCAAGUCAUCUGUGAAAUCUCCGGGCUUAACCCGGAACGGUCAGAUGAUACUGCUUUGCUAGAGUGCGGAAGGGGCAAUCGGAAUUCUCGGUGUAGCGGUGAAAUGCGCAGAUAUCGGGAAGAACACCCGUGGCUAAGGCGGCUCUCUAGUACGGUACUGACGCUGAGACGCGAAAGCGUGGGGAGCGAACAGG